GUGAGUGGAGCUUCACUUCUGUAGACACCAGAGUUUUUUUGAGGGUCUGUUCACUACAGCGUGAAGCUCUUCAGAAAGUUUGCACAAAACAUACUUAUUUGAAAUUGUCAGAAAUCAUCCAUACAGUAAAAUAGCAUCUGGUCUCUCUUUACCAAUCGUUCAUCAUUUUGAAAAAUGCUUUGCUUUCUCAGGAUUCACCUAUGGAGACAAAAAUGUGCUGAGGGAAAAAAUGUGGUUCGCACAAGAGACCCUGCUGCAAGGAGGAUGGAGACUGGCAGAAAGCCCCUUGCCCUCCCCAGCUGGGCAGAAAACAGUUUCAUGGUGGAAAAGCCCCAGAAAAAAACAGUCGCCGACAAGUUGUCAGUGUGGAGCCCUGACCAACAGGCUCCGCCAAGUCAUCCUGACGGUGCAAGGUUUGCUUUGCAAAGCUGCUGGCAGAGGUGGUGGGGCCACACGCUCCUUGUGCCUUCAUCUGGACUUACCACAGAAACGCUCGCCUCUCUUAGCCAGAUAUUUAAACCAACAUCACUAAAAGGGACAAAAUGCAAGACCUGCGUCACCAACGGUGGUAGCUGCUUUUAUUUAUUUUCCAAGGAUUGCAGCUUUCUUGCUGUAAGACCUUCUACCCAUUUUUUCCUUUAAUAUCAAAGUAUGGGAUUGGGGGCUGUUGAGUUUGGGUCCUCCCGUUCCCCCCACGUAAAUAAAAAUCUGUAGAUUGCAACUCCUGGAGUCCACCGGACUGAAAACAGCUGCCUAUGGUAUUCCACAUUUUUAUAAAAUAGUUUGUGAUCAAAAUUACAUUUUUUUGUUUAUCUGGUAGUAAAUCCUCCAAGUUAGCUAAGAAAGGCCACCCAGGUCCAAGUGGUUUGACACAGACUCAUUAAAUCAUCAUCAUGGGCCCCUGACACGUGCUAUACUCUUCUGAUGAUUAGAUUGUAAGUGAAAAAUACAGUUAGCGUUAACACCACAGCACGUGGAUGUGACCUACAUGCCCGUCUGCUUCUUCAUCGUGCUUCAUCUCCACGCAGGGCUAUAAACGACACCCAAAAGUGGAACAGUAGCCUGAAUACUUCGCGGUUGCCUGGUUCAGCUGGUAAAAGUUCUUCCAAGGAGUUCUCCAUGGAGGAGCAAUUAUUUCUCCUCUCUACAUGGCUCCCUAAGCUGGUCUGAGAGAGAAUCUUGGCCAGCUGAAGAGCUGGGAAAGAGCUUUUCACUGAAAGUGAAGCAGCAGGUCUUGUGGGUGCUGCCAGAUGUGCUGGGAUUGAAGGCGGUGUUUAAUAUCUACCUCCUUGCCACUGCAACACCUGUGACUGCCCCAGCAAAGACCCUGAAAGGUGUGGCAGCUUUAUAAUGGACCUGCUUGCAGAUGCAGCAGCCUGAAGUUGUGUUCUCCAAGUCUCGGUGGCAGUUGUGCUCUGGUAAGUUCAGCCUGGUGGCUAGACCAAGCCAUACGUCAAGAGCUCAUGCUAAUCAGGUGACAAACU